rnacentral:lncRNA from 1 species
GCGGCCGCUUUCCGCCUCGGACUCGAGCGCGUCGAAGACAGCAGCGCCCACCAGCAGAUGCAGAGAACCCAAAGCCCUGCAGGAUGGCAAAGCUGCAACAUGGAAGUCACCCGGAUCACCACGUAAAGGAAAUCUCUCCAACCAGGAACAAACACCUGCCUUGCAAUAUUAGGUGGCCACCAGACUUUCUCUGCUUGUAUCCUCCCAGGACCACAGAACUCAUCGCAUCCCAAGGCAGCCUAUUCCAUCAUGGAUGAGCUCAAAGUGUUUGAAAGUUCUGCUUUAUCAAAACUCUUGAUGGCCUGCUUCCCAUCCUCCAUCCUGGAAGACUGAUCUGAAACCCCAGGAGGAGGUCCUCUGAGCCCUGAGGCAGAGAUCUCUCACCUGGAAGAUGGGUCUAAUGACUGCGCCCCACACACACCAGAGAGGACUGCAGAUAGUGCGGGAUGAGAGGAAGAUCUCUGGCCCUGGAGACAGCAUCAUCAAGCGAAAACGUAUGAGGAAGAAAAUAGCAGAUGAGAAGAAUCAACCAAAUUCCGGAAGCUGGAAGGCAGAUGCAAGAAGGCCCUUGAAUGAUGCCAGCACCUUGAUAUUGGACUUUCCAGCCUCCAGAACCAUGAGCCAAUACAUUUCUGUUCCAUAAAAAUUACCCAGUUCCAGGUAUUCUGCUAUAGCAGCACAAAAUGGACUAAAACAAUGUUGGCACAAGACUCAGUGCUGGGCCUGGCAUGCAACAGGUCCUUGGAGUGGCGUGCUGUGUGGAUAAUGAAUAUUGGGGAAGGCAUCUCUCUCCAGCCCCUCUCAAGCUUUCUGUAGUCACUGGUCCACUCUGUAUUGCUAUGAAGAAGCUCAAGACCAGCCUGUAUCACUCGGGGUCCUGGCAGGAACCAGGUGCCACACUCAAACUGAGUAAUUGAAGAGGGUUUAAUAUGGGAGUUAUUUACAUAGGUGUGGGCUGGUGUAGCUGCCCAUAUGCCCUCAAAAUCACCUCUACAUGGCAAUAGCUACUUACUGCUAACAGAGUCUCUCUCUCAUUGCUGCAAAUAUUUUCUAGCCAUGCAAGAAACUCAGCCGGUCAUGUUGAACAAACUAAGAGUGCCAGGAAGUUAAUGUCCUGGAAGCAUUGCCAGAGGGGAGGGGGCAGUUAGAUUCCCCAGCUUCCUCGCUCCUCUGCUGGGUUAAGCCUGCAACAUAUUCAUCAUCUCCCAGAGUGCUGCCCAGGGAUAGAGCUCCAGGUGCUCAGUGUGGUGACCUGCUCAUGUCAGCUUCUUCCCCUUUCCUGUCUUGUUUCGCACCCACAUCCUUCCCAUGUUUCCUCUUCCCAAAUAAACUACUUGCAUUGAAA